AAUCGUGUCCGGACGAGGAUCUCGUCAAGGCACACAGGAGGAUGUACCGACAAAAUUUUCAACGAUUCGGCGAUUCAACCACCUCUUCGACGUUCGCAGCAUCUACACCCGGAUCCGGAGGACACCUCCCAAUGUAACCCAUAUUCCACUAAAUUUUGCCGUUGAAAACCAGACGUCAUCUUCACCAGGAUACUCCGGAACUGAGUGGACCUCCCGCCGGCAUGGCACCGAUGCAUUCUAGGAUGCAUUACAAAUCACCACUCGCCUCCACUGAAUCAUUAGCCGCCACACGGUCACCAACACGGACCGCCCGUCGUGACCGUUCCCGAGUCCGAGUUCGACAAUAACUGACGUUGUGAUGGCGACGGAACCGACCGCCACCGUAGGGAUGAUUCCUGCCAAACAGUCGUGCUAGCUCAAACUCAUCGAGUACGGCGCUGACUAGUGAAGUCCGAACAAUCCGUCCGGCAAGCGAAAGUACUUACGCGAUCAGCUGAUACAGCUCAAAAUGCGGCAACGGCUCACGAAAAACCGGGUGGAUCUUCGUAAUUGGUCUAAACCUCGGAGGAGGUGUCCACGGGAUGGGCUAGCAUCUCUGAGAUGCUGUUGCCGACGUUCAUCAAGGAUUGCAUGAGCGGAGGAGGAGGAGGAGGCGGUGUGAACAUGGGCCAAAUGAGACAACAACACAUGCCGAAAUUACCGUCCGGAUCGCAGCCAAACAAACAAUCUCAGCAGGGCAUGAAUCCGCUGGAGAUACUAAGCGUGAACGAGAACAAACGGACCGGUACCAGAUGUUGUCCCUCAGCAACUGCACUCGGCAGUUUUUUCGUUGUAGUUAAUUUAGCAUAACAUACUUAGAGGACUGCCCGUCGUUUCUGAGACCGAAACGAGAAAUCGACGCCACUGCCAGCACCAUCAACCGAGACAACACCAAGCGCCAAGCCAGCAACGGCCUCCACUGUAACAAUUAUCCCGACGCGGACCGGAGGAGUCCAAGCGAAAAUACUCGCGUGAUCAGCUCAAGAAUGCGGCAACGGCUCACAAUAAGUUCGCGAAUCUGCACAACAGUUUGGAAAAGAUGCAGCAGCCGAAAAUUAUCAAAGCAUCUCAUGGGAGAUGGUAGCGAAGGAAGAGAAGGCAACAUGGGUGAAAUGAGACAACCAACCAUGCCGUAACGACCGUCCCAGCGGGUCAUCAGCGGCCAGUUCGGUUUGCAGUUAAACAGACAAUCCUAGCAGGACAUGAAUCUGGUGUCGGAGUUUACCAUGGAGAUUCUGGGAUGUAUGGAAAAACUUGUUGAUGGCAUAAAACAAAAUAUAAAGCUCGUAUAUAUUGUCGGCGCGGGAGUUAUUGGAGUUGAAAUUCUUGCUUUGAUAUUUGCUCUAUUACUCUGUUGUGCGAUACGAAGAAGCAGCAACUAUAAAAACUAAAAAAACAUGCAAAUUUUUAAGACAAUGUAACUAGAAAUACUCUUCAGAGAUAUAUACAUUCAGCUGCAGGCUUCCGGCAAAUUAUUCAUUUUUUCGCUAAAUAAGAGCAAGAUUUAUCGAGAACAAAGAACAGCUAUGUCGUUUUCUGCAAUUCAUACUGAAUUUCUUUGACUAACUGGAUGUGCUUACAAAUUAUGUAGAUAAACAUAUUGCACAAAUUUUAUCAGAUUUACCAAUAUUUUUAUGAUUGUUCAAAAGCUAGUUUUAAAAACACACCUUCAAAGCCAAAAACAAGAUUGUGCCAAUAUAAAAACUGUAUUUAACAUAAAGAUCUUUUCCAUUUUAAGCUACAUAAAAUCACAACAAGUUUGUUAAAAGAAAAAAAAUUAUGUAACGUCAUGAUUCGAAUUUCCGGACGCUUCGAAACCCGGGAACCUCAUCUUGUUUUAUCAAUUAUUUGGAUAUAAGUUCACGUUAUGAAUGUCAAAACUGUGUUAAAUGAUGAAUUCUAACAUCAACUUUCAUUUAAAGUUCGUUUGAACGCUGUAGUUAAUGCCAAAACAAUUAUAUAAAAUAAAAUUAUAAGUUUACCAAAAAUGUGAAACAUUUCACUGAAAUAUUUCAUAGGCGUCCGAUGCACCGGAAAGGAAAAGCAGAAAUUUAUGGGUUUGAUUUCCUUAAAUUCUAGCAAAUUUUAUAUGAAAUCUCGAUUGUUUUGAUGUUAACCGCUUAUUAACCAACAUUUCAGUCCAAAUUUGUGCUGUUCAUAAGCAAAAUUGAGUGUCCGGAUUUCGAAUCAGCUUUUAUCAGUGUCCGGGAUUUGAAGCACAACAAGUAAUUUUAAUUUUAAAAUUCUGAUGAAAAUUUGUUAGAAUAGACAUAUUUUGCAUGUAUUCUCUUAAAACUGACUGUUCAUACUACAUCCUGAUGAUAUUUCUACAUUUCUAACUUGUUACAUGGUUUUUUGCCAGCUAUAACAAAAAUGAUAUGCUACUAAGUGUCCGGAUUUCGAAUCAUGACGUUAUGUGUAUAACGUAGAACAUAACAUUACAUUUCUAAUACUUUUUGAAUCUCAUUUAAUUAUUGAAAAGUUAAAAAAUGUAUGGAAACCAAAACCCACAGAAAACACAAGACGAUAUAAAAUGAUCAAAAAGUUUAGCACAAAACAUAUUUAGGAGCAUUCGUAGACCAUCAUUAAAUAUUAACGUCAAAUAAGAGAAUUGAAUGUAAGGUCGAAAUGGAGCUUAUCCAAAUAAAUUAAAAAUACUUAAAUAAGUGCUCGUAAUAAAAAAUAAAACAUUUGAA